UAACACGUGAGGAACCUGCCUAUCAGAGAGGGAUACCGUUUGGAAACGACCGGUUAAUACCUCAUAACGUAUUGAACCGCAUGAUUUUGAUAUCAAAGCUUAAUGUGCUGAGAGAUGGUCUCGCGUCUGAUUAGCUAGAUGGCGGGUAACGGCCCACCAUGGCGACGAUCAGUAGCCGGUCUGAGAGGAUGAACGGCCACAUUGGGACUGAGAUACGGCCCAGACUCCUACGGGAGGCAGCAGUGGGGAAUAUUGGGCAAUGGGGGAAACCCUGACCCAGCAACGCCGCGUGAAGGAAGAAGGCCUUCGGGUUGUAAACUUCUUUUAGCAGGGACGAAGGACGUGACGGUACCUGCAGAAAAGCAACGGCUAACUACGUG
rnacentral:rRNA from 1 species